rnacentral:lncRNA from 1 species
AUUUCAAUGAUCGAUAUGCAAUCAAAACAUAUUUGUUUAUACAAUAUGGCUUUUCGUGAUAAUCAAUUAGUCAGGUGUCAAACUGUGAACCUACAAUCGUACAGUAGUGAGCUGUAUUAUUUAAUAACAUUAUAAACGUGUCAAUUAAACGAAAAGACACACCGAAUACAUCUCGGAUUAAACUUACGUUUUAACUUGGAUAAACAAAUUUAAAUCGCAGAGUAAGAAAUUCACAUCGUGAUUUCGAAAUCCUGGGUUCCCUGUUGUGAACUCCUAAACAAAUGACCUUGAUAAUGAAAAACACCCGGAUGACAACAAUCAAUGGAUAUUGUACACUGUACGACAACGUUUCGAAAGUGAUGAAAUUACGUUUGAUAAUAGUCUGGCUUUUUAAUCGGCCAUUCCAACAUUUCAAAUUAUUGAUCAUGGGAGUAAAUCGAAACUCUUGUCUUACAAUCCAAACAACGCGAGCAUUAUGAUGCAAAUGCAAACAAUGAAAAACGAAGUGAAAGUAUUUUAAUUUAUCAGAUAUAAUUUACAAUCAGAGAGAACUUUUACAUGCAAAAUGUCGGACGUCACAAGUCAUUUACUUCCGGUUAAAACGGAAACCUGAAUAAACCGGCUCACUGUCCAAACCGGCCCUUUUUCAUAGUCCCGUAGCUGGCCGGUUUAUACAGGUUUUACUGUAUAAGGAUAAGGAUACCUAAGUAAAGUCAAGUGAUUAUGAUAGUUGACUUUAUCCAAUUUGUGCCCUUAUUAUAAAGUUUGUGCUUUUAACUUUUAACAGGUUAUCAAACUCAGUUGGCAGUUGCAUCAUGGUCUUUGGACAUGUCAUAUCCCAAAGUUGGAUUAAUUUGACUUUUACUUUCACUUUGUCCUUUUAUACCUAUGGUAGUAAAACCUUGUACAAUUCGUGUCUGGGUCAUAUCUUUUGUACUUGAAAAAUGCUGUUGCAUUUUGGGCUUGGGGUGUAUCAUAUACCUCUGACCUUUCUAAUUUUACUCCUAUGAUAGUCUGGUUUGUGUUUGGUGCAUCGGUUUUGAACUGUUUUGAAUUGACAAAAUUUAUACACAGAAGCAUCAUACUGACCUUGACAUUCAAUUUCAGAAUUUACAGUAUGAACCUCACACUUUAUUCAAGGGUCAGUAGGAUUCUUUAAGAUUGACAUGUAGGGUGUGUUUGGAUAUACGCCUGAGGCGGCCUAUGGUUACCCAUAGGUACCUAUGGUUUGAUAUUUUGUGUAUAAAAUAUCAAACCAUAGGCCGCCUCGGGCAUAUAUCCAAACACCCCGUAAUUAACUAUGUUUCAACUCAACACACGGGCAAAGAUUAUAUCAAAGGAAUGGCUGAAAACCAAAAAUCUCAAAAUGUCAUUGCCUCAAUGCUGAAUUUAACAGCAGCAACUAAAAUUUAUCCUGCAAUUGGGUGUCCUACUAUACAGAUACAGCCCUACAGAUAUUGCUAUGCUGUAUCUGUAUACUAUACAGAUAUCGCUUUAAAGCUCCGCCCACUGCUGGACUGAGUAUUGUUUGAACCUGUGUGACCUCAGAAUGUGUAUUCCAGUUGCAUUCCAAUAAUGAUGACAAUUGUCAAUUUCAAAACUUGAAUGUGUAUGAUUGUGUUACAAAAUCAACCAUGUCAAUUUCAGCAUGCAUGUUUAGUGAAUGUCAAGUCUGAAGCGUAGGACAACUCGUACACUUCUGUUUCAAAUUUGACAAUGUUUUGUUAUUUCUUUUUACUGUUGAAAUUAGUUGUUAUGUUAAAAUAGAUAAUUAUUCACCUUGAGCGAUGUAUUAUUGUUGACCAUUCUAGAUUCUUUUUUUGCGAACCCGUCUUCAGCGUAAUGUGUGAUUUUGAUAUUACUACGCGGGCCUCAAGGGAUUACAAAUCGAAAAUAAAUGCUAAAUAUGUUAGAUCAUGUUAGUUUUUGUGUCUUUUAAAACACAAACAAUAUACAGAAUUAAUUGCAGGA